GAAUCAAUGGGAAAAUAAAAAGGAAAAUCCAGACAUUAAAGCAGCAUUUCAUGUCAUCAACAUGGGUGGCUUCUCCACCUUCCUCAAAGUAGAAUAGCAAACUUUUAAGUUCCCAAGGUGUUUACCUACUUAGCCACACAUACCAUGGGCCCACUUCUCAGUGGCUUUGAUAUACCUAGCAUGGUCUAAAGAAGUGUCAGACUAACUCAUCUUACAAAAGGAACCGCUUAAUAAUAAAAGAGCUGUGCAAGUAGCUUGUUUCAUCUUAAUUAGCCCAAGAUGAUGCUUCUGAAGUGCUGUGCUUUCUUAUCUAUCCUUCCUGCUGCAAGGGAAGAAGACUUUGACAUCUUUAACAACUCAGCCUCAGGAACCAGAAUCAGGAGUAGCAGAUCUUGCAUUGGCAUUGUCAAAGAAGCUGUAAAAAUGGGUGCCUAAAAUAAAUUUGCCUUUGUAUUGGAAUAAGCUGUCAUGUGCAAUGUGAGAGGGCUGGGAUAAGCUAUCAUGUGCAGUGUGAGAUAGCUUACUGUCCAGUGUGAGAUAGCUGGAACAAGCUAUCAUGUGCAGUGUGAGAGGGCUGGAAAGUGACUUUUAGCAUCUGUGUUCAACAGUGGAAAUCACACAUCUACUGUGUGAUAGGAGGAUGCCAGACCCUGGAGGGGAGAAAAAUACAGUGCCUCUGCCAUCAGAGAAUCUAUGUUGACUGCAUUAGAAGGAAAAGGGAAGCAAUGGUUGAAAGUGAAAAUGUAGAUGAUGAUAUUUUUACUUUAGAAAUGCAUUAGUCACUUGUAAGAAGUCUGCCCACCUCUUUUCAAUUAUUGCUUGAGACCAAUGUUAGUCAACAGGUUAGAUUCAGAAAGCUUCAGAGGUCUCUCUUUAGUAUUUUGUUUCCACCUGGCACCAGCAACAGUGUCCUCAGUGGCCUUGAGUGUUUGCGCAACCAGAAAAUAGGAGUGGAAAUGCCCCCCGCUGCAAUUGAAUCAGCAUCCCAUGUAACCUGCCAGCUGGGUAGCCACCCCGAGCCUCUGCCAUUAACUUCAUUUACACAUUGUUCUCACUCAGCCACUCACAGGAAGGCAUCUUUAUGAAAGCACUGCAAACACUAUGUGUGAAAAAAUCCAGAUGGUAUAAAUAGCUUUUCACUUCUAAUUGCAACUUGCCCCUCACAUUUUGUUUCCUGAGAGCUCUGAAAAGAGACCGAUCCAAACCACUAAUAGCACAGGAGCUCUGGGAGGGUGAGUCAGUGUCUACUGCUGAAGGAGAACAAAGAUGAAGAGAGAACGGCAGGAGUCCCAGAAGGCCAUUUCAGGCUUGAAGGAGUACUUUUCUGCAGGGUAGUGCCCAGCCAGACAAACAGGGAAUGGUUUCCUGGAGUACCUGAUAGGUCAGCUCUUUGAUGCAUCGCUCAAGUCUGCGGGCUCCCCUCUGGGCCUCUGCACUGCGACGGAUUUCACCCUCCAGUUCACCUUCCAGUUCACGAACCUGCAACCAAAACGUGACCUCAGACCAGACGCUGCCACCAAGUCUGGCAUUCUAUUUGCUGAUUGGCACAAUCAUUUGAAAGACAGCAAAGUGUCAAGGGAACAUGCACACACUGUUUUUGGUGCUUAAACAGGACAGUGUCUCUGGGAAAACUCUCUCGCCAAAAGUAAGAUCUUUUAUGGAUUCAUAAAAGAACUAUUUAGACUG
rnacentral:lncRNA from 1 species